rnacentral:SRP_RNA from 1 species
GGCAGCAAGGCUGGGAGCCAGGGGUUCCCAAUCCGCAAAUCCCCUUUAGGCGGGCCGCAUGCUUGUCGAGUGUUACAGAGUAGUGCAAGGCCUAGGCCGAAGCGUUGAGGUUUCGCCUCUAGUGGUAGUUGCAUAUUCGAACCGGGCCAGGCCGGAAGGAGCAACCCUAAGUCUAUGUUUACUAUGCUCUAGAGAUACGGGGCUGAGUGUAGGCCUAGAUAACCUUGCAGUGCGCUGCAAUGCAAGGCGGCUGCUGCC